CCUGGCGGCGAUAGCGCGGUGGUCCCACCUGAUUCCAUGCCGAACUCAGCAGUGAAACGCCGUAGCGCCGAUGGUAGUGUGGGGUCUCCCCAUGUGAGAGUAGGACACUGCCAGGC
rfam:Serratia symbiotica genome assembly, type strain CWBI-2.3T, contig: SYMBAF_Contig_27